UACGAAGGGGGCUAGCGUUGCUCGGAAUCACUGGGCGUAAAGCGCACGUAGGCGGAUUGCUAAGUCAGGGGUGAAAUCCUGGAGCUCAACUCCAGAACUGCCUUUGAUACUGGCGAUCUUGAGUCCGGGAGAGGUGAGUGGAACUGCGAGUGUAGAGGUGAAAUUCGUAGAUAUUCGCAAGAACACCAGUGGCGAAAGGCGGCUCACUGGCCCGGUACUGACGCUGAGGUGCGAAAGCGUGGGGAG
rnacentral:rRNA from 1 species